UCUAAUAUGGCAGACAAGUGCGAUGGAUUUAAGCUCCAUAUAUAAAGUAUCUCUAAAUCUUUUAUUAGAA
rnacentral:tRNA from 1 species